rnacentral:misc_RNA from 1 species
AGAGUUAAAUAGUACGUGAAAUUGUUGAAAGGGAAACGAUUGAAGUCAGUCAUGCUUGCAGGGAAUCAACAAAGUGGUUUUCUUCCUUGUGCACUUCCUUGCUUGGCAGGUUAGCAUCAAUUUUGAUUGUCAUUAAAGAACUGGGGGAAUGUGGCUUCUUUGGGAGUGUUAUAGACCCUAGUAGAUGUGGCGAUUGGGAUUGAGGAUUGCAGCGAAUGCUUCUUGGCUAGUCACCUGGCUUCUGAUGGUCACCUUGCUUUCGAUAGCUUGCUAACGGUGGUGAGACUCGAUUGUCUAGAUGUUAGGCUGAUCAUAAAUUCGCUAAGGAUGCUGACGUAAUGGCUUUAAACGA